CCUCGUGUGGCGGCCGCCAGUGAGCGCGGCAGGGGCGGCCGGGCGGGGUGUUUUGGGCAGGUGGUGCCGGUAGGGACCCGACCCGACCUGACCCAAAACGAACCGAGCCAGGCCGGGCCGGGCCGGCUGCGGCUCCCGGUGCCGGCAUGGUGUUGCAGGAGCCCGCCGGGGCGCCGAAUCUGUCGACUGCGGCGGCAGGGGUCGGUGAUGCCGCCGCCGAGGUACAGCUGUCCCGGCGUCGCUGGGCCGUGCUGCUGCUCUUCUGCAGCUACUCCCUGUGCAACGCCUUCCAGUGGAUCCAGUACGGCAGCAUCAGCAACGUCUUCGUGCGCUUCUACGGCGUGAGCGCCUUUGCCAUCGACUGGCUUUCCAUGAGCUACAUGCUCAUCUACAUCCCCCUGCUCUUCCCUGUCGCCUGGCUGCUGGACAAGAGGGGCCUGCGCCUCAUCGCCCUGGCUGGCUCGGCCCUCAAUGCCGUGGGUGCCUGGGUGAAGCUGGGCAGCCUGAAGCCGCACCUCUUCCCCGUCACUGUCCUGGGACAGGUCAUCUGUGGCCUGGCCCAGGUCUUCAUCCUGGGCAUGCCCUCACGCAUCGCCUCCGUCUGGUUUGGCUCCCAGGAGGUCUCCACCGCCUGCUCCAUUGCUGUCUUUGGGAACCAGCUUGGCAUCGCUGCAGGCUUCCUGGUCCCUCCAGUUCUGAUCCCUAAUGUGGAGGAUGUGGAGAAGCUGGCUUACCACAUCAGCAUCAUGUUCUUCAUGAUUGCAGGUGUGGCAUCAGCCCUGUUCAUCCUGGUCAUCAUAGUCUUCAAAGCGAAGCCCCCAAACCCUCCAAGCCGAGCUCAGGCCUUGAUCCAGUCAAGACCAGCUGUGGAGUAUUCCUACGUGCAAUCAAUCCUCCGCCUGCUCCGCAAUGCCAACUUUUUGCUGCUUAUGGUCACUUAUGGUCUGAAUGUAGGUUGUUUCUACGCCUUGUCCACUCUGCUGAACCGCAUGGUGAUCCAUCACUACCCAGGGGAGGAGGUGAAUGCUGGCAGGAUUGGACUCACCAUUAUACUGUCGGGGAUGGCUGGAGCUCUGAUCUCCGGCAUCUGGUUGGAUAAAACCAAAACCUACAAGCAAACAACACUAGUUGUCUAUGUCAUGUCUCUGGUGGGAAUGAUAGUCUAUACCUUCACUCUGAGCCUGGACCACCUCUGGGUGGUCUUUGUGACUGCUGGGUUGCUGGGGUUUUUCAUGACAGGAUACCUUCCCCUGGGCUUUGAGUUUGCUGCAGAGUUGACAUACCCAGAAUCAGAAGGAACAUCAUCAGGGCUUCUUAAUGUCUCAGCACAGAUUUUUGGUAUUGCCUUCACCAUUAGCCAAGGGCAAAUCAUAGAUCACUUUGGGACAAAGGCAGGAAACCUCUUGCUUUGUUCUGUCCUGUUCCUGGGGACUAUUCUGACAGCAUUCAUUAAGGCUGAUCUCCGAAGACAUCAGGCCAAUUUGGAAAAUGAACAGACACUGCAGGUGCUCAACUGACUGAUGGCAGGCUGAAUCUGGUAUUCUGCAUUAAGAUGGAUGCCUCGACCAGGGGAUCACCCAUCUGGGCUUGGGCAUUGUGUGCUGCCUUUGUGGAGAACUCUGACAAAGUCAGAAAGUGUUGCCAGAAGCCUACACUAAUUCCAUAGUCCUUGAGGAAUCACGGCUGUGAAAUGAAGGGGUGGCAGAGCUGGGAGAUACAGCCCCCUCAUUCCCAUCUUUUCUACCUGCACCAUGCUCCUGUCACAUGCAUGCCAUGGGAGGGGAGCAGCCUCAGGACAGGAGCUCUGUGAACUGCUUGUGGAGAGUGUGAAAGCACAAAACAAGAGGGGGGGUUGCUUUUGUCAGUUUUAUGCUUGCAUCAUGCUGUUUUGGUGUUUGGGAGAAAAUUUGCUGUGUUCCCCCAGUCCCACCAUGUAUGAUUGGAAAAAGCAUGUGCUGAGAGAAAAGCCACAGUACCAGGCUAACCCUGAGCAUGAUGGUGGCACCUUGCAUGUGGCCAUGAUGUGAAAGGCAGAAGCUGGACCACACUUAACUCUGAAGCUGGCUGGAAGAGCUGGCUCUAGGGAAAAGAGAUUGCUCUGCCUUGGUUCCCAUUAUGCUCUGUGUUGCACAGGUAGUAGUAGAGGCCUCAGUAUAUUACUAGCAAGUGCAAAGCAGUGCACCAGCUGCUGCUAGCUAUUCUUUUAUUUGGCUUUCCCAGAUGAAGCACUCAAUCUGGAUAAACUUUUACUCAGAAUUCACUGGGGUUGCCCUGAUGUUCCUACAUAUUAAGAGUAAUUAAGAGACACCAAUAUGCCUCCUUCUAGCUUGAGGCAAGGACUAGUUCUGCAGCUUAAAUCUAGCUCAUCACUACAUUAGCAACAAGAGUCAAACCACUAUUUCCCUGGGCUGAGGACUGUGUCUUCCUCCUUAACAGUAAAGUGCCUUUUGCAUGUUUCAACAUGACAUACAAACUUUUGUGAAGUGUUAUAUUGAGCAAACCAGCCAAGGCUGUGUUGUUCUUCACAGCCAGAGAGGGAUAUGAUGGGAAUCCAGCUUGGCUCUGAUGUGGAAGCUUCCCACUUGAUAAUAGAGAACAGGAAAAGGUGCCUACUUACCAGCACUUAUGUCUUAUAGACACUGCCCAUCUCUAUGCUGUUUAUGUUCUAAACACAACUGUAGAUCCUUUUAUCACUUCUCCAUCCUUUCCAGCAUCCCACCUCUGCUGGAGGCAUCAAAUGUCCUAAUAUGCCUUAAAUCAUGCUGUUACUUAGGGAUUAUUUGAGGCAGAGGACAAAAGCUGUACUGAGGUAGAAUAGUUGAAAAUAUUCCUUUCUGACAAACUAUUUUUGACAUUUUUUUGGUGAAAUUUUAAUGUUUUUUGAUACACUACAUUUUGAGACAGCCUGAGUUCAGUAGGUGCUUAGACAACUCUCAGGCACAUGGUGUGAUUCUUAGGGGUCCUGUGCAGGGCCAGGAGUUGGACUGUGAUCCUGAUAAAUUCCUUUCACUUCAGCAUAUUUUAUGAUUGAAGUCUUAUCUUUGCUAGUUUGGGAUUGAGGAUGGGGGUUUAGAAUGAUUUUCAAUAGAAAUUUUAAUGUAAAAUGUAAACAUUUGAAGUGUACAAUGAAACCUGACAUAUUCAUAUUAAA